AAUGAACGCUGGCGGCAGGCCUAACACAUGCAAGUCGAACGAGGCAGCAAUGCCUAGUGGCGGACGGGUGAGUAACGCGUGGGAACGUGCCCCUUGGUACGGAAUAGCCCUGGGAAACUGGGAGUAAUACCGUAUGUGGUCGAGAGACGAAAGAUUUAUCGCCAAGGGAUCGGCCCGCGUUGGAUUAGGUAGUUGGUGGGGUAAUGGCCUACCAAGCCGACGAUCCAUAGCUGGUUUGAGAGGAUGAUCAGCCACACUGGGACUGAGACACGGCCCAGACUCCUACGGGAGGCAGCAGUGGGGAAUCUUAGACAAUGGGGGAAACCCUGAUCUAGCCAUGCCGCGUGAUCGAUGAAGGCCUUAGGGUUGUAAAGAUCUUUCAGUGGGGAAGAUAAUGACGGUACCCACAGAAGAAGCCCCGGCUAACUCCGUGCCAGCCGCCGCCGUAA
rnacentral:rRNA from 1 species